rnacentral:rRNA from 1 species
GACGAACGCUGGCGGCGUGCUUAACACAUGCAAGUCGAACGGUAAGGCCCUUCGGGGUACACGAGUGGCGAACGGGUGAGUAACACGUGGGUGAUCUGCCCUGCACUUCGGGAUAAGCCUGGGAAACUGGGUCUAAUACCGGAUAGGACCACUGCCUGCAUGGGUGGUGGUGGAAAGCUUUUGCGGUGUGGGAUGGGCCCGCGGCCUAUCAGCUUGUUGGUGGGGUGAUGGCCUACCAAGGCGACGACGGGUAGCCGGCCUGAGAGGGUGACCGGCCACACUGGGACUGAGAUACGGCCCAGAAUCCUACGGGAGGCAGCAGUGGGGAAUAUUGCACAAUGGGCGCAAGCCUGAUGUAGCGACGCCGCGUGAGGGAUGACGGCCUUCGGGUUGUAAACCUCCUUCAGCACCGACGAAGCGCAAGCGACGGUAGGUGCAGAAGAAGGACCGGCCAACUACGUGCCAGCCGCCGCUGUAAGAC